UACAGGGGGGGCAAGCGUUGUUCGGAAUUACUGGGCGUAAAGGGCUCGUAGGCGGCCAACUAAGUCAGACGUGAAAUCCCUCGGCUUAACCGGGGAACUGCGUCUGAUACUGGAUGGCUUGAGUUUGGGAGAGGGAUGCGGAAUUCCAGGUGUAGCGGUGAAAUGCGUAGAUAUCUGGAGGAACACCGGUGGCGAAGGCGGCUCACUGGCUCGAUACUGACGCUGAGGUGCGAAAGCGUGGGGAGCAAACAGG
rnacentral:rRNA from 1 species